UAGGGAAUAUUAGUAAUGGGCGAAAGCCUGAACUAGCAACGCCGCGUGUGCGAAGAAGGCCUUCGGGUUGUAAAGCACUUUUUGAGAGGAUGAGGAAGGACGGUACUCUCAGAAUAAGUCUCGGCUAACUACGUGCCAGCAGCCGCGGUAACACGUAGGAGGCGAACGUUAUCCGGAAUUACUGGGCGUAAAGAGCGUGUAGGUGGUUUGGUAAGUAGGGCGUGAAAGCUCCUGGCUCAACUGGGAGAGCCCGUUCUAAACUGCCGAACUAGAGGAUGGUAGAGGGAGGUGGAAUUCCCGGUGGAACAGUGGAAUGCGCAGAUAUCCGGAGGGACACCAGUGGCGAAAG
rnacentral:rRNA from 1 species